AUGACGAAGAUGUCGUUCUCCAGCAGCGCCCUCGUCCUCGUGCUGGCGUCCGUCGUCUCCGGCACCACCGGCUCGCACGCGGGAACGCCGGCGUGGGCGCGCGCGAAGGGCUCGGGCCCGGCGGGGUCGAGCACGGCCUCGUGCAGCCGCGGCCACGCCAGCACCAGCGCGUCCUGGUGGUGCUGCAGCACGUAG
rnacentral:rRNA from 1 species